rnacentral:rRNA from 1 species
UACGAAGGGGCUAGCGUUGCUCGGAAUCACUGGGCGUAGAGCGCACGUAGGCGGAUUGCUAAGUCAGGGGUGAAAUCCUGGAGCUCAACUCCAGAACUGCCCUUGAUACUGGCGGUCUCGAGUCCGGGAGAGGUGAGUGGAACUGCGAGUGUAGAGGUGAAAUUCGUAGAUAUUCGCAAGAACACCAGUGGCGAAGGCGGCUCACUGGCCCGGUACUGACGCUGAGGUGCGAAAGCGUGGGGAGCAAACAGG